rnacentral:rRNA from 1 species
UCCAGACUCCUACGGGAGGCAGCAGUGAGGAAUAUUGGUCAAUGGCCGGAAGGCUGAACCAGCCAAGUCGCGUGAGGGACGACUGCCCUAUGGGUUGUAAACCUCUUUUAUAAGGGAAGAAUAAAUGCUACGUGUAGCAUGAUGCCUGUACCUUAUGAAUAAGCAUCGGCUAACUCCGUGCCAGCAGCCGCGGUAAUACGGAGGAUGCGAGCGUUAUCCGGAUUUAUUGGGUUUAAAGGGUGCGUAGGCGGCAUUAUAAGUUAGUGGUAAAAUAUUGGGGCUUCACCUCACUACGCCAUUAAUACUGUAGAGCUAGAGAACAGACGAGGUAGGCGGAAUAAGUUAAGUAGCGGUGAAAUGCAUAGAUAUAACUUAGAACACCGAUAGCGAAGGCAGCUUACCAGACUGAGUCUGACGCUGAUGCACGAGAGCAUGGGUAGCGAACAGGAUUAGAUACCCUCGUAA